AGCUCCAAUAGCGUAUAUUAAAGUUGUUGCAGUUAAAAAGCUCGUAGUUGGAUUUCGGAAGGUCCUUAGCAAUCCGCCCCUUCGGGGAGCGGGUUGCUGGCCUCCUAUGUUCCUAACGGCCCUCAUCCGCGAGGGUGGGGAAUCAACCGCUAGGAUCGUUUACUUUGAGGAAAUUAGAGUGUUCAAAGCAGGCGUAACUCGCCUCCGAAUACGUUAGCAUGGGAUAAUGGAAUACGACUUCGGUCUUGUUUCGUUGGUUUCGCUUGGCUGAAGUAAUGAUUGAUAGGGACAGUUGGGGGCAUUAGUAUUUAGUUGUCAGAGGUGAAAUUCUAGGAUUUACUAAAGACUGACCAAUGCGAAAGCAUUUGCCAAGGAUGUUUUCAUUAAUCAAGAACGAAAGUAGGGGGAUCGAAGACGAUCAGAUACCGUCGUAGUCUCUACCGUAAACUAUGCCGACCAGGGAUCCGGAGAGUUUGCAUGGAUGACUCCCCGGGCACCUUGUGAGAAAUCAUAAGUGUUUGGGUUUUGGGGGGAGUAUGGUCGCAAGGCUGAAACUUAAAGGAAUUGACGGAAGGGCACCACCAGGAGUGGAACCUGCG
rnacentral:rRNA from 1 species